rnacentral:rRNA from 1 species
AUUGAACGCUGGCGGCAGGCCUAACACAUGCAAGUCGAACGAGUGGCGGAAGGGUGAGCAAUGUAUGGGAAAGUGCCUGAUGGAGGGGGAUAAGAACUGGAAACGGUAGCCAAAACCGCAUACCAUCAGCUGGGCCCAGGUGGGAUUAGCUAGGUGGAGGGGUAACGGCUCACCAAGGCGACGAUCCCUAGCUGGUCUGAGAGGAUGACCAGCCACACUGGAACUGAGACACGGUCCAGACUCCUACGGGAGGCAGCAGUGGGGAAUAUUGGACAAUGGGCGCAAGCCUGAUGCAGCCAUGCCGCGUGUAUGAAGAAGGCCUUCGGGUUGUAAAGUACUUUCAGUGGGGAGGCGUUACCCGCAGAAGAAGCACCGGCUAACUCCGUGCCAGCAGCCGCGGUAAUUC